AUUGAACGCUGGCGGCAGGCUUAACACAUGCAAGUCGAACGAGUGGCGGACGGGUGAGUAAUGCUUGGGAAUCUAGCUUAUGGAGGGGGAUAACUACGGGAAACUGUAGCUAAUACCGCGUACCAUAGGAUGAGCCCAAGUGGGAUUAGGUAGUUGGUGAGGUAAAGGCUCACCAAGCGGACGAUCUCUAGCUGGUCUGAGAGGAUGACCAGCAACAUGGGGACAGAGACACGGCACAGACUCCUAGGGGAGGCUGCAGGGGGGAAUAUUGGGCGAUGGGGCCAACCUGACGCAGCCAAGCAGAGUGAAUGAAGAAGGCCUGCGGGUUGUAAAGAUCUUUAGGUAGCGAGCCGUUAACUACAGAAGAAGCAAAGGCUAAAUCCGUGCCAGCAGCAGAGGUAAUA
rnacentral:rRNA from 1 species